GAUGAACGCUGGCGGCGUGCCUAAUACAUGCAAGUCGAGCGAACGGACGAGAAGCUUGCUUCUCUGAUGUUAGCGGCGGACGGGUGAGUAACACGUGGAUGACCUACCUAUAAGACUGGGAUAACUUCGGGAAACCGGAGCUAAUACCGGAUAAUAUUUUGAACCGCAUGGUUCAAAAGUGAAAGACGGUCUUGCUGUCACUUAUAGAUGGAUCCGCGCUGCAUUAGCUAGUUGGUAAGGUAACGGCUUACCAAGGCAACGAUGCAUAGCCGACCUGAGAGGGUGAUCGGCCACACUGGAACUGAGACACGGUCCAGACUCCUACGGGAGGCAGCAGUAGGGAAUCUUCCGCAAUGGGCGAAAGCCUGACGGAGCAACGCCGCGUGAGUGAUGAGGGUCUUCGGAUCGUAAAACUCUGUUAUUAGGGAAGAACAUAUGUGUAAGUAACUGUGCACAUCUUGACGGUACCUAAUCAGAAAGCCACGGCUAACUACGUG
rnacentral:rRNA from 1 species